CAUCAUUUGUUGGUAUAGAAUGUUUGGAUAGAUGCCAAAGGAACAUCCUCACCUUUCCACCUGAACUUUCCAUAAACUUUUCCAUGAGCCCUCUUCAACAACCGAGGUGGAGGAACCAUCCCUUUCCUCUAACCACGACUAUUGGAGAAUUAAUUACAAUUCUGAAAUAUACAAAUAUAGACAUAGGAGAUAAGUCCGACCAAAUUUGGGAACUUGUCUAAAAAGGGAGAAAAUUAGUCUGACUUAAUUUAUGCUUUUAAUGAGGGUUCAUAUUAUGGGAUGAUAUUAAAUAAAUCCAAUUUUAUUGUUUGAUGUUUACACGGGAUAAGGAUGACCGGUUCUCUCUUCUCUCAAUAUAUACGAUCGUCUCAUGUGCAGAUUGGUAACCAAACAUUUCUCAUCCACAACCAAAGUGAUCUGAGUGCCUGUGUAGCUAGUGUUGUAUCUGGUUGGGCAUGGACAAGUACACGAUUCGCAUUCUUGCAAUAGCAGCCCUAGUGUGUCUACAUCUCGUAUGCUCUGCUACUGUUGCUCAAUGCCGAAUCAUGGCUGACAUGGACAGCAAGAAGAUCGAACUACCAGACGGGCUAUGCGUUGAAGUAGCUCAUGAUGAUUGUUGGAACCGCGCUGGUUGCUUCCAUUGUUUGGUAACUGACGUCUUCUACCCCACUAUGGAUGACUGCAAGAGCAAUUGUAACAAAUCCUCGUCUUUACAAGACAUGCUAGUUGCCAUGACGACCUCCCCUCCUCCUCCUUUACCUGCUCCCUAAUUUUCCGGCCUAGACAAUGGUUAUAUGUACAAGAUUGUCCACUGAAAAUAAUGCCUAUGUGCGGAAACCAGUUAUGCAAUGAGAGUAAUAUACUGCAGCAGUUGUUGCUGAGUAUUUUGGUUUGGCAAA